GGACAGUUGGCCGAGCGGUCGAAGGCACUUGUCUUGAAAACAAGCGUACGAAAGUACCGGGGGUUCAAAUCCCUCACUGUCCGCCA
rnacentral:tRNA from 4 species